rnacentral:lncRNA from 1 species
UGCUAUGAUGCAAAUGAUGCAGACAAGACUGGCAGGCUGUGCGUCUCGGAACACAGGAUCAAAGCUUCAUCUUGACUCGGAACCACAAUUCAUCUGAAACCCAAAGUCAUCUGAUAAACUGUCAUCUGAAGAACCAAGAAUCACCAACAGGACCACAAGUCACCACCAAGUCACCGACAAGUCACCAACUGUACCUGUAAUAAUGAUCAUUCCCUCCCCACUCACGGGUGUCAUCUAGGCCAGGGUAAGGUCGAAAGAAACGCAAGAUAAACAACCCUUUCAAGAAUAUCAUCCUGUGCACACCCGAUGUAUGCACCGAUAAUACCCCAUCAGAGUCUGAACUGCUCGUGAUAUCAAUGUUCCGCUAAGUGGCGCAUACCACCCGCUUCCCAUGAAUCACUCUAUUCCUAGGUUUCCUAGAUUUCACUCAUAGCCUGGGUAUUGGGCCUUUU